rnacentral:rRNA from 1 species
GACGAACGCUGGCGGCGUGCUUAACACAUGCAAGUCGAACGGAAAGGCCCUGCUUUCGUGGGGUGUUCGAGGGGCGCGCGGGUGAAAAACAUGUGAGUAACCUGCCUUUGACGUUGGGAUAACGUGAGGAAACCGGGGAUACUACCGCAUAUGAGCUCCUGCUGCAUGGGGGGGGUUGGAAAGUUUCGGCGGUUGGGGAUGUACUCGGGGCUUAUCAGCUGGUUGGUGGGGUAGUGGCUUACGAAGGGUUCGACGGGUAGCCGGCCUGGGAGGGUGACCGGCCACAUUGGGACUGAGAUACGGCCCAGACGCCUACGGGAGGCAGCAGUGGGGAAUAUUGCACAAUGGGCGGAAGCCUGAUGCAGCAACGCCGCGUGCGGGAUGACGGCCUUCUGGUUGUAAACCGCUUUCGCCUGUGACGAAGCGUUAGUGACGGUAAUGGGUAAAGAAGCACCGGCUAACUACGUG